AGAGUUUGAUCCUGGCUCAGGAUGAACGCUAGCUACAGGCUUAACACAUGCAAGUCGAGGGGAAACGACAUCGAAAGCUUGCUUUUGAUGGGCGUCGACCGGCGCACGGGUGAGUAACGCGUAUCCAACCUGCCCACCACUUGGGGAUAACCUUGCGAAGGUAAGACUAAUACCCAAUGACGUCUCUAGAAGACAUCUGAAAGGGAUUAAAGAUUUAUCGGUGAUGGAUGGGGAUGCGUCUGAUUAGCUUGUUGGCGGGGUAACGGCCCACCAAGGCGACGAUCAGUAGGGGUUCUGAGAGGAAGGUCCCCCACAUUGGAACUGAGACACGGUCCAAACUCCUACGGGAGGCAGCAGUGAGGAAUAUUGGUCAAUGGACGAGAGUCUGAACCAGCCAAGUAGCGUGAAGGAUGAAGGUCCUACGGAUUGUAAACUUCUUUUAUAAGGGAAUAAACCCUCCCACGUGUGGGAGCUUGUAUGUACCUUAUGAAUAAGCAUCGGCUAACUCCGUGCCAGCAGCCGCGGUAAUACGGAGGAUGCGAGCGUUAUCCGGAUUUAUUGGGUUUAAAGGGAGCGCAGACGGGUCGUUAAGUCAGCUGUGAAAGUUUGGGGCUCAACCUUAAAAUUGCAGUUGAUACUGGCGUCCUUGAGUGCGGUUGAGGUGUGCGGAAUUCGUGGUGUAGCGGUGAAAUGCUUAGAUAUCACGAAGAACUCCGAUUGCGAAGGCAGCACACUAAUCCGUAACUGACGUUCAUGCUCGAAAGUGUGGGUAUCAAACAGGAUUAGAUACCCUGGUAGUCCACACGGUAAACGAUGGAUACUCGCUGUUGGCGAUAUACUGUCAGCGGCUUAGCGAAAGCGUUAAGUAUCCCACCUGGGGAGUACGCCGGCAACGGUGAAACUCAAAG
rnacentral:rRNA from 1 species